UGCCCCUCUAUUUGGCCGGAUUAAUGAGUUUGUAGUUAAUUCCGAUUAUGCAUGAGGAGAAGGCAGAGUGAGGAAUGGUGGGAUUGUCCUUCGGUGCUCGAAUCCGGUUUUAAAUCCGCGAGUUUUAUCAUCCUUGUUUCCCUCCACACCU
rnacentral:snoRNA from 1 species